UAUCCCAGUUUUCCCUUCCUGAUGCACACAGCAAUGUUCUUUUUAUGCAACUUGCAAUCUCUGCCUACAAGAAAGAUAACUAUCUUACAGGGACAGAUCAAUCUUCUGCAUGCUCUGCAUUUCCCUAACAAGCUCCACCGGAGCAUUCAGAGCUGAGGAUCCACACCUAGGAGCUCUCUUCAAAAGGAGACAUUACAGAGGAAGGAGUCAAACAUUACUGCAUCUCCGAGCUCAAAAGGAAGAUCUUAAUAAGGACUGCUGAACCUGACUAGCUGCUUUGUAGUCACGUGUGUGCCCAGCUGACAGAAGAAUGAAGUCAGCCUACAGCCAGAUGGGAGGAAGGAUGUGCCCAGGUCUGAAUGCAUCUGUACUGCAGGCUCUGAGAAAUUAAAGCCCAGAGAUUUACAACUGUCUGCC